GCUGAUGUGGUGGUACAUGUCUGUAAUCCCAGCUACUUGGGAGGCUGAGGCAGGAGAAUGUUUGAGGCCAGCCUGGGCAUCUUAGUGAGAUCCUGUCUCGA
rnacentral:sRNA from 1 species